AUAAGACUUCCUAUACGAUUUUCUCAAUUUCUCCGAUUCAUUUUUUCCGUUCGACGAACUCUCACCGGGAAAAGCAACUCCGUUGCCGGGAAAUACUCUUAUUUGAUAAACGAAUGCUGCAUUAAAUUUGAUCAAUCUAGGGUUUCGGUGAAGAUUGUAGUGAAGCAAUGGCGAAGGGGAGGUUGAAUCGGCAUCAAGGGAAGAGAUCAUCGACAGUGGUUUUAGUGCUUUCGAUGCUUCUGAUGCUAACAGUUGUGCUUCUAAUGCUUCUCGCUCUUGGCAUUUUUAAUCUUCCUGUUGGUUCUGAUGAUGAGUCGCCUUCGACUGUUCAGGAUCACAUCAAGUUCAAGCGGUUCAACUUAGAUAUAGGGGAAGGUGACGGACUGGGGAAAAGAGGGGAACAAUGGACAGAGAUCUUAUCGUGGGAGCCUCGUGCAUUUGUUUACCACAAUUUCUUGUCCAAGGAAGAAUGUGAAUACUUGAUAAAUCAAGCUAAGCCUCACAUGGUGAAGUCAUCAGUUGUUGAUAGCAAGACCGGUCAGAGUAAAGAUAGCAGGGUUCGUACAAGU
rnacentral:misc_RNA from 1 species